UCCAGACUCCUACGGGAGGCAGCAGUGGGGGAUAUUGCACAAUGGGGGGAACCCUGAUGCAGCGACGCCGCGUGGGUGAAGGAGCGUUUCGGCGCGUAAAGCCCUAUCGGCAGGGAAGAAGCAAGACGGUACCUGACUAAGAAGCCCCGGCUAACUACGUGCCAGCAGCCGCGGUAAUACGUAGGGGGCGAGCGUUAUCCGGAUUCACUGGGUGUAAAGGGAGCGUAGACGGCCAUGCAAGCCAGGGGUGAAAGCCCGGGGCCCAACCCCGGGACUGCUCUGGAAACUGCGGCGCUGGAGUACGGGAGGGGCAGGCGGAAUUCCUGGUGUAGCGGUGAAAUGCGUAGAUAUCAGGAGGAACACCGGCGGCGAAGGCGGCCUGCUGGACCGCGACUGACGUUGAGGCUCGAAAGCGUGGGGAGCGAACAGGAUUAGAUACCCGCGUAC
rnacentral:rRNA from 1 species